AACCUGAUGGUGUAUUUUUGAUCUCAUUAGUAGUCAGGGAGCUAUCUCCCUGCAUCCGGUGUUGCUAGUCCGGGAGGAGACACGCUACAACACAGAGAGAGCAAGCGCGAGAGAAUAUUAGAAGAGGCUUGUCUUCAAGAUAUGGAAGGAAGUGAGAGAUGACAGUGCUGCAAGCUUUGUAUGCAGGAGCCUGGCAGGGCGGGGGAGAGGCAAGGGAAGCCAAGUGGGUUCUCAGAAAAGGGGGGAAGCCAUCAAAGAGCUAAAGGUGAUUAGAGGAGGAUAUCGAUUCCUUACUCUGCCAGAGGUUUAAGCAGGCAUGUGAGGAAUCUGCCUGCACCACGGUUGGCAGAGAGAGACCCAUUGCCUCCUGUAACCAGACACUGGGGCUUUCCAGGAGCCCAGGGAGAAAGCCGAGAAGAAAGGGGGCAGUGUGGUCUAGGAAAAUUCAACUUGUCGCUGAUUUGUGCCUGAUGCUUGCUGUCCGUCAGCAGCCUCCCUUACAUGCUUUUUUCCUUUCUCUCCUUUUUUUCUCCCCUUGCCUUCUUCUUCAGUGAAGCCUAGGGGAGCCAGUAAAGAUUAAAUGUGCUUUCUCAAAGGCAGCCACUUCAUGCUGCUAUGUCGAAAGGGCUAUUAUUAUUAAUAAAAUGAGAGAGAGAGAGAGAGAGAGAGAGAGAGAGAGAGAGAGAGAGAGACUAGGUAUGAUGAUGACGGACUGGCUCUUUGGAGAGGAAAAGGGAAAGGCGAAAAAAGGAGAGGCAGACGGAGAGCUGAACGGUGGACUGUACAUGAGCAGAACCUACAGAGGUGAGAAAAAAAAGUUGUGUGUGGGUGUUCUAAACAGACCCUGUGCUGGGGGAAAGAGACAGGGUUUAGAGGGCUGGCUGGCAUGAUUCUAGUUCUUCUGGCGGGGAGGAGGCAAGCCUGGAGCUCUUCACUGUUCCUAGUUGUAUAUGAAAGUAUAUUAAAAAUAGUUGGCUUUUUUCUUUUCCUUUUUUUUUAAACUCGGAUAGAAGGGCCCCCUCCAGUGUCUUCCUUAGGGCCGGUGCUUUGUUACUCUGUGUGCCCAGCCAGCCAUCUACUUUGCUCAGGCCUGGGAUAAAAGAAAGAAAGGAGGGGUGAGGGGAAAGAAAUUUUUUUUAAAGAAGCAUCUUCCCGGUCGGCUUCCCCUCCCUUUCGGUUCUUUUUUUUUUUUUUUUUUUUUUUUUUUUUUUUUUUUUUUUUUGAGUCUGCACAGGAAAGCUCAGCUUCUAAGCAGAGGAGGUUGGGGAAAGCGACUCUAUCAGGUACAGCACUAGUGGCUGUCUGCGAAGAUGGAGGGGGAUUAUGCCUCGGAUUCCUCUGAAAUAUUGGCCAAAGGCUUCAAAGGAUCCGCAGCGGGAGGCGAGGUGGGGGAGCAUCUCCCCAGCUUGCACCCACCCCUUCCCACUUUGCGUCUACCAAAUGACAGGCUGGUGCUCGCUCUGGGUGAUUUUGGCCUUGGCCUCAGCCAAGCAGCUGAUGGAGAGGAGGGCCGGGUUUGCAAGACUGACAGAACUCUGCAUGCUAGAGAAAGAAGGAAAAAAAAAUUUUUUUUUUACAAGCAAUCCUUGGGAAAUUUUCUCUUUCUCUCUCGAUUUAUUCAAUUUUAAUUUUUAACCGACUGUUUUCCAAAUUUGAUCAGCCCCAGCCCCUCCCUCUACUCCCACCCAACUGCCUCUCCCCCCACCCCCACUCUCGGUCAAAGCAUAAACCACAGAGUUACGGUCUUCUCUCGAUUUUGGAGUAUCGCUUCCUGCCCCCGCCUUCCCUCCCCGCCCCAUUCUCUGUCCUAUUGAACACCUCGCCCAGCCUAGCGCAUUGCGAGCUCACAUUCUCCCCCCGGGUCCGGAUGGCGCUCCUGGAAGCUCUGCAGCCGGGCUCCACUUCAAAUGGAUGGUAUUAUAGCCAAAAUGUUUCGCCUGUCAUCAGUCUCCUGAAACUAUGAUAGCCCAUGCAAAUAUGAGCCUAACACAAAAAGAUGAAUGGGCCGGAAGUGCUGAGAACCAUAUGGGUGUGUUUCCACAAGGAGGGAGUCUCCAGGCUGAGGAGAGGUGGACUGACUACAGUCUGCACCAGGGAGGUGGCUGCCCACUUCUUCCUCCAUUGCCUUUUCAAGUCUUCAAGGUAAAAGAGCAAUCGCAGUUUGGUUUCACUUGUAUUGUUCUAUAAUCCAGGCAAUAAAUGCUAAUUAGUAAUGCUCAAGGAUCCGACCAUUCAGAGUAAUUAUCAUAAUUUACUUCUUCCUCGUUAAAGACAUUCCUUGCUGAUUUAAAAAAAAAAAAAAAAAAAAAAGUCGUCCCUUCCCCAUGGUGUUACAGUGAGUAUUCACUGGAAAGAUGUUCAAGGUGCACUCACAGCUUCGUGGCUGCAUUUGAGGUCACCAACAUGUGCCCUGGCUUAUUCGGAAUGGAACUUCCACUUUGAUUUCUAAGAUGGAAUUCAUAUAAAUGCAUCAAUGUCUGCACAUCACCGGGAAUGUAUGAUUUUAUUUUGCAAACCCCGAGGCUCCUCCUUCAGAGCCCACCCCUUUUUCUAAAACCACUUAUGAGCAGAACAAAGGAAAGUACUAACUAUAGAGGCAUCAUUAGAUGUGAACAGUCACUGCACAGUAAAGUGUGUGCUAUGACAACAUAUUUCAUUGCACAAAAGUGCAGAUAAUUAAAUAAUUCAACAGCAAACCCGACUAAUUAGCAGAAAGAUCUUUAAAGGGGAAUCAAGAAAAUGGAUCCAAUCAACUCGAAGAAUAUGUUUUAUUCUCCGAGACCGAAAAUAUAUUUUAGUUGUUUGGGGAUUGAUUCAUGUAGGGUGUGAGGACAAAAGCCAAUUCCUCAACGCAAAGCUUGGAUCUUCUUUAGACACACAAACUGAACGUCUGUCUUAAAUGAUCUGAAUUUAAUGUAAGAGUUUCCCUUUGCAGUCAAAGGCAUAACAUGCCACUCAGAUGUAUGUCUCUUUUAUCUAUAGAUCUAAUAGAUGGCCAACCCUUAGCUGUUCAGUUGGCUUCCUCAGUGUGUAUGUAGCCUCUCCCACAUUUCCUAAUGAUUCAUGUUGAAGUUCCUUAUUGCUUGAAGCAAGUAUCAUGUUCACAGUACAGAAAGAAUAAGUAACUGUACUCAGUGUUAUCCAGGGUAACACCCCUCCCCAUUUCCUUUGUCAAGGUGUUAUUCUCAGUGUUCAUUGUUCAUUGGUCCUUUAAGCAGGAGAUCUAGUUUUAACUUGAGGGCUAUAAGCACAUUAGAAGACUAAUUCCCCUUGGAUACUGUACAGAAGGAGCCACCUGCAAAAUGUUGAUGCUGUUAUUGAAGUCUCAAGUGGAAUCAGCUUUCAAAAAAUUAGAUAUUAGAUACAUCCGAUAUAAUUUGCAAUCUGUAAUUAUCCUAAUGUGCAUAUAGCUGGGCGUUGCUUUACAUGUAGCCUACUUGAGUUUGUCGACCACCCCCACCCUUGGGCAUGUUUCAUCACUUGAAAUUGCCCCUGAGUAGAAUGCUUUUUAAGCCAGCUUAUUUUUUUAAUUCCUUGUUAAUUAAUAUAAGAAUAAAAGGACUUUGCAGCCUGUGUGCUUGUGUGAGAAUGAAAGUAUAAAACCUAGAUAUUGAAAACUAAUGAUCUCUCGAAGGACUGUCACUGGAGACACUUGAAUUCUUUGCAAAAUAUUUGCAAUUCUUUGUGGAUUUGUUCUUUAUCCUGACUUUGGAUAACUUGGAAGCAUGGAGAACAUCAGAGUAGUAAAUAUUACUCAUAAGAAAUAUAUUUCCUUUGUUGGAAUUAGAAAAAUGACAUUAGGCAAAGAUAAUAGUUUUUAACUUAAUCAAAAUAAUCAAGCCAUUAACAAUAAUAAACAAUUCCUUUUCUCUUUUCCCUUCCAUUUUGCAUGUCACAUGAUGAGUAAAUGAAACUCUUAUGCAUUAACUUCAGUUCCCUUUUGGGGCCUCAUUGUGAUUCCAGAGACCUACUGAUGGCUCCACUGGGGAGCCCCUUCCAGCAAGCUGCCCUCUGAAGAUCUACCUAUCAAGAAAAAAAAAAAAAAGCCAGGCAGAAGCACAGUGAGUUGGCUGGCCAGCCUGGUACUUGGCUAUGUGCAGUAGGUGAUGAGAUUGUCAAGACAAACUUGGAGAAUGAUUAUUACUGGGCAAGGCAAUCUGAGGGUCUCACUUUUUCCUUCUGCAUUCAAAUUACAAAAAGGAUCCCAAGAGAACCUUGUGUUGAGUAAAAGACCCUACUCUACUACUCAAUGCAAGUUGUUGUACUGAUGUUCCUUUCAGCUGGUCCUAUAGUCCCCUUCCUCAGGAAUAUCUCCCCAGUGAAAGAACAAAGACUACAGAGACUGCUAGACUGAUGGACAUUCAUACCAACUGUGAAGUUGAAACAAAGCAAGUGACCACCUGAAGAUACCCCAGCAGCCACCCAUGUGGUGCAGUUGCAGCCAAUACUAAUCUUUGCAAGAAACAGGAAGACCCAGAUGAUUAAUGAGUCAAAAACUUGCUUUCUUGUGUGUAUUUGUCUGUCUGUGUUCAGAUUCACUUGCCUUCUAUUUUUUAUACUAGUAUGGAUAUGCUUGUUAGUGUGCUUGUGUAAAGGCAACUUUGCACAUGUGUGUUCAUGCACGAAAAGACUGAAUUUUCUGUGGAGACUAAUUUUUAUCAACACAUAGUAUUUGUUCUUGAGAAAGAUCUAGAAAAUGAAAAACAGUGUUGUCACAGGUGACCCACAGAGAUGCUCAUGCCAUCAUGCAGAAACACCACAUCAUGCCCCCAGACUCUGAGCAGCAAGCUUGCCUCUGUGACAUAUGGCAGCUGCUUCCGAGGGUGAAAAUCAAACUGGACAAGGGUAUAUAAGCUACCUAAAAUGUAGUGAUAAACUGAGUCAGUAGACAAUAGAGUAGAAAUAAAAUGAAAGACAAUGGCUUGCCUAAGGGAGAAUGUUGCCCUAAAGAGAAAUAUGAAAUGACUCAUAAAGGAUGUAAAAAAAAUAGAUAAAUGGGAAGGUAGAAGAAAAUAGAGUCUUUAAGGUGAGCAUAAUAGUACGCCAGGACAUGGCAGAGGAAAUCCACUGGGUGAGUUUUGGAGGUUGCAAAUACUCAGGUCAACUUGAUUCCACCCAAUACUCAGCACCCCAGAAGUCACCUAAACCAAACUACAACUAAAGUUCCAGUUCUCUGUCACUGGAAAGAUGAAGGUGAUUGGUAGCACCUGUGCAGAACUCAUGAUUCUUCUGUUCAUAAUUGCUAGCUACCAAGUUUAUUCCAUGUAGAAUGUAUUUUGCCUAAUAAAUCUCAUGACAACCAUGAAAAUUACACAUUAUCCAUACUUCCCAGGUGAUGAAACUGAUUUUGAUGAGGUCAAGUGCCUGGGCAAGGUGCUUUGUGCAGCUGUGAACAUUCAAGAUUGUGGUCACAAAGUUCAUGAGCUGAAGCCUAAAGUCAGAAUUUUGUGAUCAGUACCAACACUUUUGUCACUUUCCCUACAGACCUUAAAGUCUUUCUUUGGAAACAAAUAGCUCUUCUGCUUACUUAUGGCCUCAAUGGUCUACUCAAAUACUUUUGUAUUUUAACUACAUCAGAAUGAUAAAAUGUAUUUUAUGACAGCAAAUUGAAAAGUUAAUGGUGGCAAGCCAGCCAGUAUUUUAGACAUUUCCUUUUCAUUUUGGUUAGACAUCAUGAGAUUUUUUUUUACUUAGUUCUGUAAGAAAACUCAAAGUUUUAAGAGCAGUGGGCCUUACGUUACCUUUUACAAUAUCUUUUUGAUGGAAAACAUAAAUCUAUAGUCUGAAAGCAGAGUUACUUAGAAAAAUAACCAACCCAAACAAACAAAAUAAAACAAACCACAUAUUUGGAAAUAUCCCAGCAAGGACUAGAAACUAGGCCCUCAGUUAUCUUUCAGUAGUUUUUAAACUACUCCACCCUACCUGUGCCCUAAAGAAACAUGAACUUUUAUUUGAUUAAAAGAGGUAUUCUGUCUAUGUGAUUAAAGAAUGCUUCACAGAUUGGAUCUAGUAGAUCUCACCAUUUCCUUCCCCUCUCUGGCACUUCAUGUCAAUAUGAAAUACAGCUAUGGAUUAGUGUAUUUGGGUCAAGAAGUUGUCAAUGAUCUGUCCCCAAAGAAUAUAGAAUAGCCACAGUUGUAUGUAUAUUAUAUCUUUAAUGAUAUCCCCAAUCAUGAAGUCAUUGCUUCACUUGUACUGAUCCAAUCUCCCAUUGUACAUCUUAUCAAUGCCUUUGGGCAAUGACCAACUUUUGUGAAUGCUGAGAAUGCUUAUCCAUGACUUUUUCAGUAAUGCAAUUCAGUAUUAAGAAUUACCACUAGUCAUUUUGUGUUGUAAUCCUUGUUUAUUCACUUCCAGUCACUCUGUACUUGAUUGGCAUUUAACAGUGUUUAAUAAAAUGGCCAUCUAGAUAACAUAGAUAUCCAAAUUGUGAUUUUUGUCUUAAAGGAGACAGUUAAGCUAGGUCUGCUAAGGGACAGACAUGUAACUUUUUGAGAGAUCUGGAUAUUUAACUUUUGUAACUUUCUACUUAGCUGUUUGACAUCAUAUGUAGCCCCCAUCAUGGCACUAGCUGUCUUGUUUUUUCAAAGUGCUUGUUGGUUCUGUCUUACUCUGUUCUCACUGAGUUCAUAAACAAACAGGUUUGUUGUUAACAAGUAGCCCAAGGACAGAGUGUGACUGUGUUGACAUUUUAUGAGACUUUCUUUUCCCUGACUCACAAUAAAAGAAAUGUUGCAUUAACUGUGAA